GUUGUGAGGUUAAGUGACUAAGCGUACACGGUGGAUGCCUAGGCAGUCAGAGGCGAUGAAGGGCGUGCUAAUCUGCGAAAAGCGUCGGUAAGGUGAUAUGAACCGUUACAACCGGCGAUACCCGAAUGGGGAAACCCAGUGUGUUUCGACACACUAUCAUGUCAUGAAUACAUAGUGGCAUGAGGCGAACCGGGGGAACUGAAACAUCUAAGUACCCCGAGGAAAAGAAAUCAACCGAGAUUCCCCCAGUAGCGGCGAGCGAACGGGGAGGAGCCCAGAACCUGAAUCGGCUUGUGUGUUAGUGGAAG
rnacentral:rRNA from 1 species